rnacentral:tRNA from 1 species
GCGACCGUAGCUCAGUGGAUAGAGCAUUGGUCUUCGGAACCAAGUGUCGGGGGUUCGAGUCCCUCCGGUCGCG